UACGUAGGGUGCAAGCGUUGUCCGGAAUUAUUGGGCGUAAAGAGCGCGUAGGCGGCCCUGUAAGUCCGCUGUGAAAGUCAAGGGCUCAACCCUUGAAUGCCGGUGGAUACUGCAGGGCUAGAGUCCGGAAGAGGCGAGUGGAAUUCCUGGUGUAGCGGUGAAAUGCGCAGAUAUCAGGAGGAACACCGAUGGCGAAGGCAGCUCGCUGGGACGGUACUGACGCUGAGGCGCGAAAGCGUGGGGAGCGAACAGG
rnacentral:rRNA from 1 species